rnacentral:tRNA from 1 species
GGGAAUGUGGUUCAGUGCUAGAGCGCUUGCCUAGCAUGCAUGAAGCCCUAGGUUCAAUUCCUCAGUACCA